CCCCUUCGGGGGAGCGGCGAACGGGUGAGUAACACGUUGAUAACCUGCCCUGAAGUGAGGGAUAGCCUACCGAAAGGUGGAUUAAUACCGCAUAGUAAUGGGGGGACAUAAGUCAUUCCCAUUUAAAGUCUUCGGACGCUUCAGGAGGGGUCUGCGCAGUAUCAGUUAGUUGGUGGGGUAAUGGCCUACCAAGACUACGACGCUUAGCUGGUCUGAGAGGAUGAUCAGCCACAAUGGAACUGAGACACGGUCCAUACUCC
rnacentral:rRNA from 1 species